rnacentral:tRNA from 1 species
GGAUAGAUGUCCGAGUGGUUUAAGGAGCACGCCUGGAAAGCGUGUGUAGGGGCAACUCUACCGGGGGUUCGAAUCCCCCUUUAUCCG